GUCGAACGCUGGCGGCGUGCCUAAUACAUGCAAGUCGAACGCAGUGGGGACGGGUGAGUAACACGUGGGUAACAUCCCAUCAGAGGGGAUAACACUUGUAAACAGGUGCUAAACUGAUACUGAUGGAUGGACCCGGGUGGCAUUAGCUAGUUGGUGAGGGAACGGCUCACCAGGGCCACGAUGCAUAGCGGGCCUGGGAGGAUGAUCGGCCACACUGGGACUGAGACACGGCCCAGACUCCUACGGGAGGCAGCAGUGGGGAAUCUUGGGCAAUGGGCGAAAGUCUGACGGAGCAAGGCCGCGUGAAUGAAGAAGGUUUUCGGAUCGUAAAGCACUGUUAGUAGGGAAGCGUUAUCUAACCAGGAAGCCCCGGCUAACUACGUGCCAGCAGCCGCGGUAAUUC
rnacentral:rRNA from 1 species